CAAACACACCGCACCUGUUCUCUUGGCUCUCCUGAGGGGACACCUUAGAUGCCAAGGAAGAGUAAAUUGUACAUCACAGUGAGGGGCAUAUAUGGUAUAGGGAUGGUGUUGGCUGAUCUUGAAGAGAAUUCAGCCUUGUAUGGAUGUGUCAGCUGACAUGCUAGGAGUCGCAAAGCAAUUUGGCCUAGCCGCAGUGCAAGCGUCCAGUAGCCAGUGUGGCUGUGAACUAGCAGUCUGGACUGUGCGGCUUUGGUGAACACGACCAGACAGUAUUCCGAAGCGGUUGCACCAGGUUCACCUUCCUGACAGCAGUGUUAUGAGAGCUCUAGAGGCGAAGAAAUCAGAGAUCGAGGCUCUAGUAGACUGGUGUCUGGUGAGGACGGCUUCCUUCCCCCACAGCCUCAUGAGAGAGAGCAAGCCAGUCUCUCCAUCUUCCUUCUUAUUGCAGACCUGCUAGUGGGAAUGAAGUAAAGAGUCUUAAGUCCACUUGAGUCCAACUUGUAAAAGAGCAGAAGUGGCCCUGGAGACAAAGGCGGCAGCAACAGUGAUGGGUGACAAGCCUCCAAGGCAAAGGCUGCCAGGCAGGAGAAUCCUGGAGGACUCAUUUGUGAAAUCGGCCCCCCUGCUUCUGAAUUUCCAGGGAGUCGGCAGGAUGUGGCAGAAAGAGCAUGCCCUUUGAAGCUGGCGAACUUGAGUUCACCUCCAUGCUGGGGAAGGAGGCUGUCGGCUGCUCAGGACAAUCAAUCUGACAUACUUCUCUACUUCUACACGGAGACUAAAACACCAUUUAAGUCUUAUUCCAACAUUUCUUGAAUCAUCUGGUGUGGGAGUUCGGAGGCUGAAACCUAUAGAGAAAGCAUGUAGACGCUGGAAGAAAACAUUCCCUUGGACCUACUAACUGGACCAACUCUCCAGCAGCCUAUGAAUGUUAUCAAACUGCUUUCCCCACUGGGUUCAUGCCCAGUAAAAUAAAUGAAGUCAUAUUUUUGCCUGGCAUAAAUUAUUAAGUUGAUGUGUGCACGAUUGCUUUAAAUCAAGGGUGCCUUAGCAUAUCCCUGCCACUCAGUGUCCGACCUGCAGCAUUUUUAUGUACAUUUGGUCUCAGGUGCAUUUGCCUCAUUCAUUCAUGGGAACUCAGUAU